AGAGUUUGAUCCUGGCUCAGAUUGAACGCUGGCGGAAUGCYUUACACAUGCAAGUCGAACGGCAGCACGGGAGCUUGCUCCUGGUGGCGAGUGGCGAACGGGUGAGUAAUGCAUCGGAACGUACCGAGUAAUGGGGGAUAACGCAUCGAAAGGUGUGCUAAUACCGCAUACGCCCUGAGGGGGAAAGUGGGGGAUUCGCAAGGACCUCACGUUAUUCGAGCGGCCGAUGCCUGAUUAGCUAGUUGGUGAGGUARAGGCUCACCAAGGCGACGAUCAGUAGCUGGUCUGAGAGGAUGAUCAGCCACACUGGAACUGAGACACGGUCCAGACUCCUACGGGAGGCAGCAGYGGGGAAUUUUGGACAAUGGGCGCAAGCCUGAUCCAGCCAUUCCGCGUGAGUGAAGAAGGCCUUCGGGUUGUAAAGCUCUUUCGGCAGGGAAGAAAUCGCGAGGGGUAAUAUCCCUCGCGGAUGACGGUACCUGAAGAAGAAGCACCGGCUAACUACGUGCCAGCAGCCGCGGUAAUAC
rnacentral:rRNA from 1 species